UUGGAGGGCAAGUCUGGUGCCAGCAGCCGCGGUAAUUCCAGCUCCAAUAGCGUAUAUUAAAGUUGUUGCAGUUAAAAAGCUCGUAGUUGAAUUUCGGGGUUAGUAGGUUGGUCAUGCCUCAGGUAUGUACUGAUCUCACUGAUUCCUCCUUCCUGAUGAACCGUAAUGCCAUUAAUUUGGUGUUGCGGGGAAGCUGGACUGUUACUUUGAAAAAAUUAGAGUGUUUAAAGCAGGCUAACGCUUGAAUACAUUAGCAUGGAAUAAUGAAAUAGGACGUUCGAUCCUAUUUUGUUGGUUUCUAGGAUUGACGUAAUGAUUAAUAGGGAUAGUUGGGGGCAUUAGUAUUCAAUUGUCAGAGGUGAAAUUCUUGGAUUUAUUGAAGACUAACUACUGCGAAAGCAUUUGCCAAGGAUGUUUUCAUUAAUCAAGAACGAAAGUUAGGGGAUCGAAGACGAUCAGAUACCGUCGUAGUCUUAACCAUAAACUAUGCCGACUAGGGAUCGGAUGAUGUUAAUUUUAUAAUGACUCAUUCGGCGCCUUACGGGAAAC
rnacentral:rRNA from 1 species